rnacentral:lncRNA from 1 species
AAAGCCAUAUCAGUAUAAAGACGUUUGUACUUAUAAGUUGUUUUCGAUGAUAGAGUUUCUGAAUCGAAGAUCCAUAAUGUUAAAUAUGAUAUAGAGCAUUUGAAGUAUCUAAGAAGUUGAAUUUUUUAAUUUUUCAAAUUUAUAAUAAAGUCUGUUAAACAAGUAAAAAAUAAACGGUCAAAAUCAAUUGAUCUCUUAAAAAUAAAGGAGCAUGCUACUUGCUUCGUUUAUUUUUUUAAAAAAUAAAUUUAAAUGAAAAUAUAAAUCAACUAAUAUUUGAACUUGAGAGCUCAGAUACGAUAUUCAAAUCUUUUGCCAUUUGCAUUAAGGACAAUCGAUAUAACCUAUGUAUUAAUUUAUUGGGCUGUUUUUGCAAAUGGCCCCCUGAAAAAAUUUUAUUUUAAAACUAGCCCCAACAAAUUUAUAAUUACAAAAAUGAAUUUACUCCCGCCACGCAAGUGCCACGUGGGUCGGCUGGGAGGUUGUGUGCGAAGUUGAACACAGUGAAUCAUUCACCAUAUUCAAAUACGGUGAAUGAUUCAUCAUGUUUCAUAUUUAUAUAUUCCUUUUCUUCUUUUUCGGGAUGUCAACGGGUUGGAUUUUAAUCGGGUUUUCAAAAACCCGAACCCGAAUCCGAAAAUCAAAUUAAAAUCUGAAUCUGAAUCCGAACCCGGCGGGUUUUAAAAAUCCAUGCCCAUAUCCAUACCCGAUUAAAAACCCGAAACCCGAACCCUGACCUGAACCCGGCAGGUUUUAUAUAAAUUAUUAAAUAUUUUAUAUAUUGUAUAAAUAAAUAAAAAUAAAUUAUGUAUAUAAAUAAUUUAUUCAGGUUUGGAUUCGGAUAAUAUUUCGGGUAUCCAUACUCAUUAA